UUUUUUUUAAAUUUUAAAAUUCUGAAGAAUUUUUAAUUUUUUAUGGAAAGUGUUUUACUACACAAGAGCCAUUAGAAAGUAAAGUUCAAAUUCCCGGCAAUCCCGAUCCGAAAAGACUUUACUACUUCUGGUGCUGUUGCUGGUGUUGGAAGCGAUCGUCGAUGGGUGCUGCAAACAUCAAACAUUUCGAAAGGCAUUAAAAUAAAUUUUAGUAAUGCGGCCUUUUGGGGUGUUCCAAUGCAUUCGGAUCUCUGUGCACUUGCCAUAAACAAAUGAGGCGAAAAAGUACCCGAAAAAGCAAAAACAAAAACAACACAAGAAGAAACACACGGAAGGGCAGAGACCUCAACAACGAGUUUUAAUGCCGACGUCGAUGUGGAUGUCGAUGUGGAUGUGGAUGUCGUCGCCAUCGCCGCUGUAGAUCAAAGGCACGCCAGCCAGCUCUAUGGAGCGUAGAGGUGAGGAGGAGACCUGCGGCUGGAGCUCUGAGCAAAUCGGUUUUGCUCAGCGAGGAGCGGAAGAGAAGGGAAUGGAAUGGAAGGGUGAUGGGGAUAGGUGACUUCGGGUGGUGUUUUGGGUCGUUUAAUUGCACUUGCCGCUUUUUAUCUGACUCCAUGUGUUGGUGUGUUCCGUGUGUGUCCCGCCAGCCCCUUUAGCCAGCUCCACAUAACUAUGAGCUCUGUCAGCCUGCGCAUGUGUAGUUGCCUUUGAUGUGCCUUUAGGCUAUGGAGCGCAUUUGUUUAUGUGUGCGCUAUAAAAAACCAUAAAAUAUGCAUAAAACGCAUAGGCAAAAAGACAAUUGCGAUUGAAGUUGAACAGCAGCAGGCAGUAGGCAUCAGGCGCAAAAGCAAAUGAAAUGAAAGUGGAAAUAGAAAUGGAAAUGGAAAUGAAAAUGGGAAU